ACCUAGCAUCAAGAGAAGAGUUGUACUCUCUCCAACCUGCCCAAUCCGGCAAGGUGGAAAAAAUGAUGUGGCAUUCAGCAAAUAUAGGAGAUCGC
rnacentral:ncRNA from 1 species